CUUCUCUUUUCACAACGCAGCACUCACCUAGCUCCUUGCCUUUGUCCAUACUGGUGCCAACAUGUUAUCAUCAAGCACAUGGUGUUUUUGCAGAGACGGUUGGUAAAUAAAUAAGGAAUGGGCCUCCAGUGGCCUCCAUGAUAAUAUAUUAUUCCUCACCCCUCUGAUUUUCCUCCUCCUGUUUUUCUACCACAACCCCUCCUAUCUAGUCACACUCCUAAAUGUUCCACUCUCUUCAUUAACCCACAGCUGAACUUCAGGCUUUACAAUCCUAACAUGUUAACAGACAUUUAUGCGGGGUCUACUCUGAAGCAGGUACUGCACAAGGUAUAUAGGUGAAACAAAGACGAAUAAGCUACUUAUGUUCCUGCCCUGAAAAAGCACACAAUUAACUACAGAAUGAGAAAUGCAGGAUGCUUGGGGAGUGCAGGAGGGAAUUUAAAGACAGUUUUUUGGAGUUUUAACCUGAAAAAUAAAACUAUCAGUUAUUUUACUAGCAAAAAAAUGGUUUUUUUUUCAGGAAUAACAGAAUUCCAAUUCUGGACAUGCAACAAACAAAGAGGAACAUUAUUUUGUGCAGAAGAAGAAUGAAGCUGGGAGGGUUUUUUCCAAACAAAAGUCCAUUGGGGGGGAAAAAAUAGCAGAAGUCCAGGUCAUGAUGGUUUCCAAAGGGCUGAGUUGCAGGGGUAGUGGAGAUGUUGUCAGAGAUACGAAAUACAUCUUUCCCUUGCAGGAGCCUGUGAUUGAUGAUUCUUUCCUGCUGCUGAUUCUUCUGUUGGGCUCUUCAUUGAUAAUUCUUUCUGUAAUUAACCAUAAUUGAUGUUGAGUGAAACUGUCGGAAGAUCCCGGAGCAGGCCGGAGACACGGUCGCGGGGGCUGGAGCGCCCCCCGAGGCCCCUGCUAGGCGGACAGACCUCUCGGGUCGUGAGUGUGCGCCUCGGCCUCCGCCGCACCUGCACCCGAUUCCGACCGCGCUCGUGCCGUCUGCCCCCAAACUUAUGCACUUAAUUAUCUUUUCCUGGACUCCCCAGUCGUUUCCUGCCCACCACUCCAGUCUCCCUAGAUAACACAAUAGGAAUUGAUGGGGUUGGAAGGGCUCGCAAGCCCUCGGAGGCCCAGCUCACGCCCAGGAAAGCGGGGGGGCGCUCCGGGAGCCCCAUCACGGGGCUCAUCACCCGGUCGCCUUCCCGGGACACGGAGCAGGACACCUCUAGCGCGCCCCCACAGCUGUCAGGCCCUCGGCGGCCGCCAGGGGGCGCGUCCGUUCCCCUCCCCAUCCCCCCCCCCCCCCCCCCCCCGUUUUUUCUCUUUUGCGGAAACGCGAACCCGCGCUUCUCCAAAGCAAAUGAACCCUGAGGUAAUUCGGCCCUCUGCCGUCGCCGUAGCCCCAGACUGUAAACAGGAAGUAGGCGCCAAGAGGCGGGUGAAAAAUAACGCCCGGGGCUCGGAGGCGCCGUCGCCUGCGCGCUCAGGGGGUCCCUGCGGUUCUGCGCGGGGAGGGCUUCCCUCGCCAGUCCCUCCUCCAGUGGAGGUCUCUUGCCGCUAGCCAGCUCUCCCCUCGGCGGACAGGGCGUCCCCCCAACCAUGGCCGAAUACUCGUACGUGAAGUCCACCAAACUCGUGCUCAAGGGAACCAAGGCCAAGAGUAAGAAGAAAAAGAGCAAAGAGAAGAAGAGAAAAAGAGAAGAAGAUGAAGAAACUCAACUUGAUAUUGUUGGUUCUUUGACUCUGCACAUAUAGACAAAUCUCUGUUUCUGGCUCAUCAUGGCUUCCACUUCAAGGUUCUUUGACUCUGCACAUAUAGACAAAUCUCUGUUUCUGGCUCAUCAUGGCUUCCACUUCAAGCAGGUGGCCCACCCCUGGGCUGCGGAGGCGCAGGUGCUCACUUCGUAAACAGCAGAUCCAGCACCUCGUCGGUGGUGGCAAAUCCAUGACAGUUGUCUAAAAAGAUGAAAACGGAGAUGACAUCCCUGCGCAGCAAGGCGGGCAGCAGUUGUUGGAAUUCCUGCUCCAGCAGCUCCGUCCGGCUGGGCUUCGUCGGGCAGAUGGGAGGCGCCUUCCCGGCCGAGGCCCUUGCACCCUGAGUUGGGACAGAGGGGACGUGCAUGGAGCCGCCGGGAGGCCUGGGGUGGGAGCGCAGCCCGCAGCCCGAGCUCUCGGGGGCCGUGGGGGGCAGGAGUGCCCACGGCAGGAACCCGGGCCUUGAUGCCUGUGGCUCAGUCACUUAGCCUCUGACUCUGGGCUGUGGCUCGGGUCGUGGCCUCAGCACCCUGGGAUCCCGCCCUGGCAGGCCCUGCGCUUGGGGCCCAGUCUGCUUCAGGAGCCUGGGUCUCCCUCUCCCCUCCCUGCUCUCUGCCUGUCUCUUACACAAACAAGACAAACUAUCCGAUAAAGAAACAAUCUUAGAGGAUAAAUGUUCAAAAAAGUUUGGAUCAGUACAAGGACCUCAAGAGACACAGAGAGACAGAGACCGAGAGAGACAGACACACAGACAGAGGGAGAAGCAGCCCUGGUGCAGAGAGCCCGAGGCGGGACUCGAUCCCGGGCCUGCGGGGUCAGGGCCUGGGCGGAAAGCAGGCGCUAAACCCCUGGGCGACCAGGCCGCCCCUGAAGGCUCUGCUCUGGUAUUCCUACACCUCUGUGCACAGGGACUCUGCAUCUGGCCCAGGCAGGGGCAGGGCCCUGGGGCAAGUGUGGGGAGCAGGGGAAUGCAGACUCAUGUGGGAGCAGGAGUGUAGGGGGGAGCCCAGGGGAGUAGCAGGCUGGCUUCUGGGACCCGGGGCCCUUCGUGCCGCAUCGGGGACCCGGGUGUCGGGGGUGCCCCGGCCCCUGCACUCAUUUGAGCCCGCGCUGGCCUCUGUUAGCUGCGCAGGGCACUUCCCAGUUCCUCGAGGCGGUGGGGCAGAGCACCCCUUCCUCCCGCUCGCGCCCCCUGUCCCGGGUGGAGCUCUGUGGAGACAGUGCCCGGCAGCCAGGCAGGAGGCCUCAGCGCCCGGUCCGGCCGCCUCGGCUGGGCCGCACCCCCAGCGGCCCCCAUCCAGACACACCACAGCGCAGGCGGCACCCCCCUCCCCCAAGGAGAGCAAAGGGAUCGGCUGCAGGGCCUCGGGGGGACUCUUACUUGGAGGGUAAGAGGACCUCAGGAGCCCUGUUUGCACCCUGCCCACCUUGACCUCAGGGUGACCCUGAAGGGAUCACCGGGGAACCUGCCGCCCUGCAAUGUCCCCCAGCCUGGAUGCACCUGCCCACACAUCCCUGUUUCCCGGAAGCUGAAGAGGAGGGGAUGGGGCCACCCAGGAUGGCUGGCACAGGGGGCCUGGCCUGGCCUGCUCUGGCUUACCUGACGGCGCCUCCUGAUAAACGCCCUGAGGCGUUGGUUUUUAUGCUGGAGCCAAAGCCUACAGCAUUGGAACAAGCGGCACCCCUGGGGUUCCUGGGAGCCAGAGCCCCCAGAGGUGGGCCGGCAGCAGGAGAACAUCUUCCAGGAGCGGAUGUCUCCAGCCAAGUGAGCCUGAGGUGGGGCUGCACUAGAUGCGGUUGCCUGGUCACGGGGGUUCCAAGUUCUGUUGGGCUCUGUGUCACGGGAGUGACCUCACUUCCUGGGACCCCCUCCCUGACCCACUCCUGGAGGAAGCUGCAGGGGCGGCGCUCGGGGCUGCCGACGGCUCCCCCGUCCCUGCAGGCGAUGGCCUGUGCACACAGUGACACACCCGCACCCCUGUCCACAGGCCCCAGGGAAGGACUGUGUGCAGCCAGGGCCCCAGCCUGGACACACGCCUGCGUUCAGACACAACUUUCCAUUCUUCCCCGGUUUUGACCCCAGAGAAGCCGUUGUGCCCGUCGGGGAUGGUCUGCAUCUUGCCCGUGGGACAGGGAUUAUCCUAGCGGGUGCUUCCUCCAGACGUCCCCAGGCCACUGUGGCAUCAUAUCUAUGACAUUGGAGGCGGGUGUCACAUGCGGGAAAUACCUCCAACCACAUGUUCUUCCUUGGUGUGUACAUGCGCCCAGGCCCACGAGGUCCAUGUGCACACACGUGGGCACCAGUUCUCUCAUACUGGAGGCCCAGAAGAUGACAGUCCCACCGGGGGAGGCAUGGGCAAUAGCUCCCCACGAUCCUAGGCUCCUGAAUCCAAGGCAAA